GUUUGGUACAGACUGUGAGAUAUUUUCCUGCUCGGCUGUCUCAUGGCUUAGGUAUAGGCCUAUUAUGUAAAGUUAAGGUAGGUGACGCCAGUGAGAUUGCGCUGCUGUGCCAGUCUCUGGUGAGGCGCUUACAAAUAUAGUUGCCUGUAGCCAGAGAGUAAAUAAUAAAUCAAUAUGAUAAGAUAAUUGGCUAUGCACAGGCUAAACGUGCUGAGUGUAACUACUAACAGGCAGGAAAAGUUUGUUAAGUUAGCGCGUUGAGUCACAUUAGACCAUGACAUGUGGGGCUGCUAAGCAAGGUUAGACUUUGCAUAUGUGACUAGGGUGGGAUAUAAUAAUUUGUUCUGUUGCCCUGGAGCAAGAGCCAAACUACACAAAACUUAUAGAACCAAUGCCACUGGGUAGGGCAGUGAAAAAAAAAAAAAAAAUACACCUUUGAGGUGGUAAAGUCAAAUGUUCUGGGUUUAACGCAAGUCAGAAUAGGCUAGCGCCCAUGUGAGUCCCGGUCGGUGUCUGCACAUGUUCAGGUGGUUGCGGCCGCAUAGGAAUCCGAGGUGCUCCGUCGGGGAACAAAAGGGGGGAUGUUUGCAGGGUCCCAGGAGUUAGAGGGCGUUUCAGAUUGAAUGUCCCGGGUAAGUGCGUCCAGUGGUAGCCCCAGAGCUGGUAGUAUUUCAGCAGCCUCUUGGAGGUUGUGGAUGGCGUGUGGAGUGGCACCGUGAUGCACCAGCAGUGUGCGGGAGAGCUUCCACUGGUAGCGGAUGUUGUUCUGUUGUAGGAGUGCAGUGAAUGGCCGGAGUGUUUUCCUCC